CAAGUAUCGGGUCGGGCAGCCAACCAGUCGUCGCCUACCAGCCUGGUGUAAGCUUGAAGAAUAAUCCUCAGCUGGCGACUGUGGAGAAUCAGAACAAAACAAAAAGUCAAAACAUUAGAGACAAAGCAUAACUCAGCACAACUCACCGAUUCUGGCCUUUCUGAAUUCUAAAUCAUGUGCUGCAACAAAGCCCAUUUCCCAAAAUUUACUGCUUUAUACAAAAAGCUCAAACUUGAUCUCAAAACAGAGACAGAAUUAGAUUAAAGAAGUUUCAAUUAAGAAUGGGGCUUUUCUCUCUUACAGUUGCAGGUGCUGGUUUUAUGCUGAUUGGUGCAUAUGAAUCUCUCUCAAGUUCAAUGUCAUCUUCACCUGUCAAUCAUCAGAUAACAAAAUCAGCUAUAGAAAAGAACCCAAAAGGCCAAUCUUUAAUUUAUAUCGGUAUCACUGUUUU
rnacentral:lncRNA from 1 species